CACACUACCUUGGGCUUUUGAAAUCCACACAGUAGUUGAACUGGAAAUCUAAGAUAGGCCCUGAGUGAUGUCUGGUUGUAAAUAGAUUAGUUUGUUCUACUGACUCUCUGCAUGGGAUAUCCUGACAGAAGAAUAUCAUCUAAUCAGCUACAUGAAGCAGCAACAAGCUUGCUCAGGAACAGCUCAGUACCUCCACACUGCUCUGCAUGUUGCAGGGGACAUUGUAAAUAUACUCUAACUACCACUGUUGCAAAUGGCUGCACUGAAAACCCUCUACCUAGAAUGGAUGUCACCAAGAAACAAGAGACUAAGCUGGGAAUCCUGUGUGGAGUUUUACAGGAAAGAGAUGGGCAAAGCCCCUAGUGCUCCUAGAAGCAGUUUUAUGGUCAAUCAUUAAGUUAGUCCACUCCUUGCUUGGUCUUCAGAUUAUGGUGUACCAGUGUCAUACUUCUAAGUUUUUCAAGAUAGAAGAUUUUUGUGUAUGGAAGAAAAACACGAGCAAGAUGAUAAGGAAGAGCAAGAGAAAUGUGAACUUCAUGAGAUAAUUCUUCAUGUAGGCAUUUCUUGUUGUCUUAUAAAAAUAUACCACUUAAGAUCUGGCUGCAAAAGCUCAUAUACAUAACCCCGUUGACAUAUAUAUCUCAAUUAAAAUCAAGAG